AAGCAACUCCAAUCAAUGCUCAUCAUUGGAAUGAGUGUGCAGCUCCCAUAGAGUCUACUUGAAGGCAAUGGCCCAGUCUGCUCUAAAUCCCCUUCCCUGUCUGAGAAGCAAAGGCUCUGGGAGUGAGCCCUGCCCAUGUAGGAGAAGCAAGAGUUUGGGACCCUUGGGCAGGAAACAACAGAUGUAAGAGCCUACCAGAUCCAUGGAGACUCUCCCUCUGCAUUCCUCAUCUUCUUAACCUUUACUGUCUGCUAAAAGAGGAUUGAGAAGGAAAGCUGGCCAACUCCUCAGCUAA